rnacentral:rRNA from 1 species
UGCAGUCGAGCGCAGUCCUUCGGGACCGAGCGGCGGACGGGUUAGUAACGCGUGGGAAUAUACCCAGAUCUAAGGAAUAGCCUCGGGAAACUGAGAGUAAUACCUUAUACGCCCUUCGGGGGAAAGAUUUAUCGGAUUUGGAUUAGCCCGCGUUAGAUUAGAUAGUUGGUGGGGUAAUGGCCUACCAAGUCUACGAUCUAUAGCUGGUUUUAGAGGAUGAUCAGCAACACUGGGACUGAGACACGGCCCAGACUCCUACGGGAGGCAGCAGUGGGGAAUCUUAGACAAUGGGCGAAAGCCUGAUCUAGCCAUGCCGCGUGUGUGAUGAAGGCCCUAGGGUCGUAAAGCACUUUCGCCAGAGAUGAUAAUGACAGUAUCUGGUAAAGAAACCCCGGCUAACUCCGUGCCAGCAGCCGCGGUAAUACGGAGGGGGUUAGCGUUGUUCGGAAUUACUGGGCGUAAAGCGUACGUAGGCGGAUUAGUAAGUUAGGGGUGAAAUCCCGAGGCUCAACCUCGGAACUGCCUCUAAAACUGCUAGUCUUGAGUUCGAGAGAGGUGAGUGGAAUUCCGAGUGUAGAGGUGAAAUUCGUAGAUAUUCGGAGGAACACCAGUGGCGAAGGCGGCUCACUG